UUGAGGACCCUAUGAAAGAUACAUGACACCAGAUAUGAACACACAGUUUUGAUCAAGUAGAUAGUAUGCACUUCAUUUACAUAUUAUCUACAUACCCUUGCUGUUCCUGCAUGCUUGAUGUAGUCAGCAAUGGCAACCUGAAGAUCAUCUGCUUCCACCUCAUGUUCUUUGAAGGUUGGGGGGCCAACCCUUGAGUUGUUGAUUCUAUGUACGUUGAGUACGAUUUUCCUCAGCAGGUUUGUGGAGGCAUCCUAAAGAAGGGAGAAAAAAGUCAGGAGUGAGGGUGUAACGAAGGAAAUUCUGAUGCAACCAAAAGUACAUGAGUGAUGAGUCUCAAAAGGUACUUACCGGAGAGCACAUGAGUGUUUCAUCUAAAACAUUGUAAGCGCGGAGGCAGUUUGGUGGAACAGGGAGAUUGCUCAUCACAAAUCCAUCCUGAAGAAUAUAUCCCUUAGCAGCAAUCUGCCUUCUUGUUUUUUCUGAGAUCUUCUCCAUUAUUUUCUGAACCUAAGAAACAGAAGAACAAAAUGGUGGCUUUUGCUAUGAGAGCAACAAGUCUCUGUCUAGUACUAGUACCUCUUCUGCGAAUAAACGAUGGCAGUGGGAGCUGCCCUUCGUGUGAAAGCCAAAUUGAUCGAGGAAGCUCCAAAAUCCCUCUUCCAGUUCUUUCCUGGAUGGCACUCUCAGCUCCAAGUUCUUGAACUGGAGGCAGCUGAAGCAGAUCAUGUUGAGUAUCUUCGUCAGCUCGGCGAUAUGGCUUGGGUGGUAGACAGACACGGGCAGCUUGAUGAACCCGAAAUGACCUUCAGCCAGCCAUGAGAAGACGAGUUUUGUCAGAAAAAAAUAAAUGAAGGUGGGCAGAAUCGCUGUCAUUACAACAAUCUCUUUGACAGCUCAGCUCAGGAACACACUAUAUAUCAGUGGAGGUAAAUGCUGCGGCAUUUAUUUUUACCAACAAUGUCUCUGACAGUGCACAACAGUAAACUGAACGGCCAGGUGGAAUGAGAUGCUGUUAUUUCAGCCGACUUUUUUGAGUAUUGCCAAAAGCAUAGGAACAAGAGAUACCUAUCCUAUCAGUUGAGACAAAUGCUGAUGCAGAACUGAUUUUGCCAAGAAUACUCUGACAAUGUAUAACACUCAAGUGAGUAGUCAGAUCAGCUGUUAUCAUAUCAAACUAUUUGUGUUUCAACAGAGUGAUCUUGCCUAGGAUUAUCACACACUGAACUAGGCAACUAGCUAGCCCACCAAGAAGUUUUAUCUGGAUGUUUGUAGACGUGAAGUGGCACUAUUCAUCGCUAAAUCAAAGGGGCACACCACUGUUCGUAGAAACCUAGAAAAUCAGGUAUAAAACAGAGAGGAGCCAGUGAGUCACCUUCACACUUGGCGAGGUCGGUGGCGCCGCAGGAGUCGCAGUGGCCGAGCUGCAGCGGCAGGCCCAGCGCCGGGUUCCCGGCCAGCUGGCUCGGGUGCGUCACCGGGAACUCCUCCUUCAUCGGCUGCGCCUUCACCUGCAAUGCAUGCGACCAUCAAUGUCGUUGGUUAAUCACCGCUGCUUUGCUAUGAAGGAGGAGGGGGAGGAGAAGAUGAAGAGGAGGCCAUGAUUGGUUGGUUG